rnacentral:lncRNA from 1 species
GACUGUUAUACAACAUGUUCAUACCUCUACAGCAAAAUUGACUGACUGUGUCACAGUACAUUCCUAGUACUGCAAAUCAUUUUGUUUGCAAUUGACUGUUUCAUGCACAGAAUGUUCAUACUUCCACUGCAAAGAGUUGAUUGGUGUAUGGAACAUGUGAGAAAUCCCUUUGACGUACACUAACACAUAAAAGACCACUAUUAAGCAAACGUUGACGGAAAGAUUUUUAAUGAUGCAUUUGACUGACUGUGUCACAGUACAUUCCUACUACUGCAAAUCAUUUUGUUUGACUGUUUCAUGCACAGAAUGUUCAUACUUCCACUGCAAAGAGUUGAUUGGUGUAUGGAACAUGUGAGAA